AUGCUCCCGGGAGAAUGGCGACUCCAUUCCCUGACGGUCCAGCUGGUUUGGGGGCGGUUCAGAGCCGCUCAGGUAGACCUGUUUGCUGCUCCAGAGACCUCUCACUGCCAGGUUUUCUACUCCCUGACUGAGGGAACUCUCGGCACGGACGCACUGGCACACAGCUGGCCGCGGGGCCUACGCAGGUAUGCGUUUCCCCCAGUGAGCCUUCUCGCACAGACAUUGUGCAAAGUCCGGGAGGACGAGGAGCAAGUCUUGCUAGUAGUGCCAUAUUGGCCUACUCGGACCUGGUUCCCCAAACUAGUGCUCCUCUUGACAGCCCCUCCUUGGCCAGUUCCUCUGAGGAGGGAUUUACUGACUCAGAGAUGGGGGCACCAUUUGGCACCCGCGUCCAGACCUUUGGAAACUCCAUGUUUGGUCCCUGGACGGGACGCGGAGGUUCUAGGUGACCUACCCCAAGAGGUAGUUAACACCAUCACUUCGGCAAGAGCAUCGUCUACGAGACACGCCUAUGCCUUGAAGUGGAACCUGUUCGUUGAGUGGUGUUCUUCUCGUCGAGAAGACCCCCGAAGAUGCCCGAUUGCGGUCGUGCUAUCCUUUCUGCAGCAAGGGUUGGAGCGAAGGCUGUCUCCCUCCACCCUCAAAGUCCAGGUUGCCGCUAUUGCUGCGUACCAUGACCCUGUGAAUGGGAAGUCUUUGGGUAAGCAUGACCUCAUCAUCAGGUUCCUUAGAGGGGCCAGGAGGUUAAAUCCAUCCCGGCCCCCCUGUAUACCCUCUUGGGACCUGUCUCUAGUGCUUAAAUCACUACAGCAGGCCCCAUUCGAGCCUUUGCAUUCAGUUGAGCUAAAGUUUCCUUCAUUGAAAACUGUGCUCCUGCUUGCACUGGCCUCCAUCAAGAGGGUAGGGGACCUGCAUGCAUUCUCGGUCGACGAUUCGUGCCUAGAGUUCAGGCCGGCUGACUCCCAGGUAAUCCUGAGGCCCCGGCCUGGCUACGUGCCCAAGGUUCCCACUACACCCUUCAAAGACCAAGUGGUGAACCUGCAAGCGCUGCCCCUGGAGGAGGCAGACCCAGCCCUGGCUUUGCUUUGUCCUGUUCGAGCAUUAAGGUGCUACGUGGACCGGACGCAAAGCUUCAGGACCUCAGACCAGCUCUUUGUCUGUUACGGAGGCCGGCAGAAGGGGAAUGCCGUCUCUAAGCAGAGGAUGGCCCACUGGAUUGUGGAUGCCAUAACCCUGGCUUAUCAGGCUCAGGAUGUGCCCUGCCCGUUCAGGUUGGAGGCUCUCUCAACUAGAAGUGUUGCAUCCUCCUGGGCGCUGGCUCGUGGCGCCUCGCUGACAGAUAUUUGUAGAGCUGCGGGAUGGGCGACCCCUAACAUGUUUGCUAGGUUCUAUAGCCUUCGUGUAGAGCCGGUAUCCUCCUGUGUUCUCACCUCAAACGGGUAG
rnacentral:lncRNA from 1 species